AUUGAACGCUGGCGGCAUGCUUUACACAUGCAAGUCGAACGGUAACAGGCCGCAAGGUGCUGACGAGUGGCGGACGGGUGAGUAAUGCAUCGGAACGUGCCCAGUCGUGGGGGAUAACUACUCGAAAGAGUAGCUAAUACCGCAUACGAUCUAUGGAUGAAAGCGGGGGACCGUAAGGCCUCGCGCGAUUGGAGCGGCCGAUGUCAGAUUAGGUAGUUGGUGGGGUAAAGGCUCACCAAGCCAACGAUCUGUAGCUGGUCUGAGAGGACGACCAGCCACACUGGGACUGAGACACGGCCCAGACUCCUACGGGAGGCAGCAGUGGGGAAUGUUGGACAAUGGGCGCAAGCCUGAUCCAGCAAUGCCGCGUGCGGGAAGAAGGCCUUCGGGUUGUAAACUGCUUUUGUACGGAACGAAACGGCUCUGGUUAAUACCCGGGGCUAAUGACGGUACCGUAAGAAUAAGCACCGGCUAACUACGUG
rnacentral:rRNA from 1 species